ACGGAGACCAGCUGCGUGGCAGCAGGAGCAAAUGUUUGUUGUGAUGAGGCGUAUACCACCAUCAUUAAUGCUGCAAUUGCAGUCACCACGACCACUGAUGGUCCACCACUUCUGCCACCACAAUCAGUUCUACGAAUGCCACCACCACCAGCAAGUCUGCUUCUGCCAUCGCCAUUGCCACCGCCACUACCAAGAUCAUUCUUGACACAAAGCCUCCAAGUCCUCAACUGACCAGCUAUUGCAGCUGGAGAAGGAUAGACCCGCAACUUCAAAGCCAGGGCUUGCUGGUCUCCUACAAUAAGAAAAGUGCCUGGGGCCAAUCUGAUGAACGUGUAAUUGUAGCACAAUAUUUGGCCACAGUUGUAGAAAUACAGAGACUAACAUGCAGCCACAGGUGAGGCUUUGUCCGCAUUUCCAGAAAGACACAAGAUAGUAUCAGAAAGCCAUGCCAAAUUCAAUGACUGAAGGGUUUGGAGAGCCAGACAAAGAGCCUAGAAAUGUGAUUUAACCCGUACUUCAAUCACAUGAACAGCAGCAGGAGCAAAAACAGCAUCAACCACACAGGAGAUGUAACGACAGCAUUGACCAACAGCAACAACAACAGUAGUAUCAACAAGUUAUGCAGGAGGUGCAAAAACCACACCGGCAACCUCAACAAUAUCAAGAUGUCCAACAACCACUCUGGAAACGUUAACAGCAACCCCAACUUCAGCAAGAGUAUCAAUUAACACAUCAGCAAAAACUAACAGCAGCAGCAACAACAGCACUUAUGAAUUGAAUCUAAUUGAAACUCAAAAGCCAAUGAGGCAACAUCUUUUACAAAAUGAGACAUCAUUUAUUCAUUCUUUUACAGGAUAAAGAAAAGCUUUUUUGAAAGUGUAAAUUUGCAGGAACACAAUGUAUGUUCCCUAUGUAUCUAUUUAUUGAAAUAAAUUUGACUUUAAAAAGAA